AACGUAGGAGGCAAGCGUUAUCCGGAAUUACUGGGCGUAAAGGGCGUCUAGGCGGUAAGGCAAGCGCGAUGUGAAAGCCCCCGGCUCAACUGGGGAGUGUCGUGCGAUACGGUCGAACUGGAGGCCAGUAGGGGGAUGCGGAAUUCCGGGUGUAGUGGUGGAAUGCGUAGAGAUCCGGAGGAACACCAGCGGCGAAGGCGGCAUCCUGGACUGGUCCUGACACUCAUGAGCGAAAGCGUGGGGAGCGAUCCGG
rnacentral:rRNA from 1 species